CGGCAGGCCUAAUACAUGCAAGUCGAACGGUAAGAUCUCGCUUGCGAGAUACACGAGUGGCGCACGGGUGAGGAACGCGUAUGCAACCUACCUUUAACUGGAGGAUAGCCCCGAGAAAUCGGGAUUAAUACUUCAUAACAUUAUUACACGACAUCGUUUUAUAUUUAAAGCUCCGGCGGUUAAAGAUGGGCAUGCGUGACAUUAGAUAGUUGGUAAGGUAACGGCUUACCAAGUCAACGAUGUCUAGGGGGUCUUAAAGGAUGAUCCCCCACACUGGUACUGAGACACGGACCAGACUCCUACGGGAGGCAGCAGUGAGGAAUAUUGGGCAAUGGACGCAAGUCUGACCCAGCCAUCCCGCGUGAAGGAUGACGGCUCUACGAGUUGUAAACUUCUUUUGUAUAGGAAGAAAAGUCUCUACGUGUAGAGACCUGACGGUACUGUACGAAUAAGCAUCGGCUAACUCCGUGCCAGCAGCCGCGGUAAUACGGAGGAUGCAAGCGUUAUCCGGAUUUAUUAGGUUUAAAGGGUGUGUAGGCGGAAUAAUAAGUCAGUGGUGAAAUCCUGCAGCUUAACUGUAGAACUGCCAUUGAAACUGUCAUUCUUGAGUAUAGUUGAGGUGGGCGGAAUGUGUCAUGUAGCGGUGAAAUGCAUAGAGAUGACACAGAACACCGAUUGCGUAGGCAGCUCACUAAACUAUCACUGACGCUGAGGCACGAAAGCGUGGGGAGCGAACAGGAUUAGAUACCCUGGUAGUCCACGCCGUAAACGAUGAUUACUCGUUGUUGGCAAUAUAUCGUCAGCGACUGAGCGAAAGCAUUAAGUAAUCCACCUGGGGAGUACGUUGGCAACAAUGAAACUCAAAGGAAUUGACGGGGGCCCGCACAAGCGGAGGAACAUGUGGUUUAAUUCGAUGAUACGCGAGGAACCUUACCUGGGCUUAAAUGCAGAACGACGUUUCGGGAAACUGAAAUUUCUUCGGACGUUCUACAAGGUGCUGCAUGGCUGUCGUCAGCUCGUGCCGUGAGGUGUCGGGUUAAGUCCCAUAACGAGCGCAACCCCUAUCGUUAGUUGCUAGCAGGUAAUGCUGAGGACUCUAACGAAACUGCCGGUGCAAACCGUGAGGAAGGUGGGGAUGACGUCAAGUCAGCACGGCCCUUAUGUCCAGGGCUACACACGUGUUACAAUGGUCGGUACAAAGGGCAGCUACCAUGUGACAGGAUGCUAAUCUCUAAAGUGCGUCUCAGUUCGGAUCGAAGUCUGCAACUCGACUUCGUGAAGCUGGAAUCGCUAGUAAUCGCGCAUCAGCCAUGGAGCGGUGAAUACGUUCCCGGGCCUUGUACACACCGCCCGUCAAACCAUGAAGCCGGGGUACCUGAAGACC
rnacentral:rRNA from 1 species